rnacentral:rRNA from 1 species
GUCCUAGCCGUAAACGAUGAACACUAGGCGUAGUCGGUAUCGACCCCGGCUGUGCCGUAGCUAACGCAUUAAGUGUUCCGCCUGGGGAGUACGGCCGCAAGGCUAAAACUCAAAGGAAUUGACGGGGGCCCGCACAAGCAGCGGAGCGUGUGGUUUAAUUCGUCGCAACGCGAAGAACCUUACCAGGGCUUGACAUGCACCGGAAAAACGGCGGAAACGUCGUCCUCCCGCAAGGGAUCGGUGUGCAGGUGUUGCAUGGCUGUCGU